rnacentral:rRNA from 1 species
UACGUAGGGUGCAAGCGUUGUCCGGAAUUAUUGGGCGUAAAGCGCACGUAGGCGGACUCUUAAGUCGGAGGUGAAAUCCUGGAGCUCAACUCCAGAACUGCCUUCGAUACUGAGAGUCUCGAGUCCGAGAGAGGUGAGUGGAACUGCGAGUGUAGAGGUGAAAUUCGUAGAUAUUCGCAAGAACACCAGUGGCGAAGGCGGCUCACUGGCUCGGUACUGACGCUGAGGUGCGAAAGCGUGGGGAGCAAACAGG